GCGGACGUAGCGCAGUUGGUAGCGCGUCACCUUGCCAAGGUGAAGGUCGCGGGUUCGAGCCCCGUCGUCCGCU
rnacentral:tRNA from 1 species